UACGGGGGGGGCAAGCGUUGUUCGGAAUUACUGGGCGUAAAGAGCGUGUAGGCGGCUAUGCAGGUCCGCUGUGAAAACUCGAGGCUCAACCUCGAGACGUCGGUGGAAACCGCAUGGCUAGAGUCCGGAAGAGGAGAGUGGAAUUCCCGGUGUAGUGGUGAAAUACGUAGAGAUUGGGAAGAACACCAGUGGCGAAGGCGGCUAUCUGGACGGUUUCUGACGCUAAGGACGCGAAAAGCGUGGGGGAGCAAAAAGGG
rnacentral:rRNA from 1 species